UUCGGGGCGUGCGAGCCGGUCUGCCGAUGGGUAUGCACUGGCUUCCGCGCGUCCUUUCUUUCGGAGCUCUCCGCUGCUCUUAGCUGAGCGGUGGAGGGAGACGGAUCGUUUACUUUGAAAAAAUCAGAGUGUUUCAAGCAGGCAGCUCGCUCUUGCAUGGAUUAGCAUGGGAUAAUGAAAUAGGACUCUGGUGCUAUUUUGUUGGUUUCGAACACCGGAGUAAUGGUCAACAGGGACAGUCAGGGGCACUCGUAUUCCGCCGAGAGAGGUGAAAUUCUCAGACCAGCGGAAGACGAACCACUGCGAAAGCAUUUGCCAGGGAUGUUUUCACUGAUCAAGAACGAAAGUUAGGGGAUCGAAGACGAUCAGAUACCGUCGUAGUCUUAACCAUAAACCAUGCCGACUAGGGAUUGGGGGCUGUUCCUUUUGUGACUCCCUCAGCACCUUUCGGGAAACUAAAGUCUUUGGGUUCCGGGGGGAGUAUGGUCGCAAGGCUGAAACUUAAAGGAAUUGACGGAAGGGCACCACCAGGAGUGGAGCCUGCGGCUUAAUUUGACUCAACACGGGGAAACUUACCAGGUCCAGACAUUGUGAGGAUUGACAGAUUGAGAGCUCUUUCUUGAUUCGAUGGGUGGUGGUGCAUGGCCGUUCUUAGUUGGUGGAGUGAUUUGUCUGGU
rnacentral:rRNA from 1 species